GAUUAGCUUUAUAAAUUCCUGCUCGCUUGACACCUUCCAUGGAUGCACUGCAGGUGCGUGUGCGGAAUAAUGUGUCGAAGAAGAAUUAGCAGAUUGUGGUUCUGGCUUAUACACCAUUGUACUAAGCACUGAAUCGAAAUUCUGAGGUGAAUCCAUUGACAAAAAGAACAUGGGUAUGGAAACCUUUUGAUGGAUAUCUAGAUGUCCGACCAGAUUAACAAGAUCAACAAAGUCCGCUACAAACUGUCGAGGAAUGUAGAAUAUCUCGGAACUGCAAAUUGUGAGGCUCUGGUCACUCCUCACAACUUCUCUAUAGUUCACUUGGAAGUGAACCGGCAUUGUACUAACUACCUUCCUUACCAGCUCCGCUUGCUUUGAGUACCAAUCAGAACUUCCUUUGGUUGAUACAGUACUCCAAGACAUGGAUACCUAAAUGCCAUCAAAUGAAGAAGAAAAUAGGAGCAAUGACUUAGUAGUUCCUCGUAAUGAACAUUUCCAUAUUUUAGGAACAUAAUACGCCAAGCUUGUAAGAUUAUAUUUCUAUUUGCAAAAUUAUUUUUGAACAAUCCAAAAUGUUUUCUUCAAAUAAAUGGCGAAAGAAAUCUACUAUGUAACAGCUAAGCACUAGAACAAUAUAAAUUCUUAAAAGAAAAUACAAAAGCUGAAGUACCGUAGGUAGGACAAAUAAUUAUUGACAACAUUUUAAAUAUGUAAAACGAGAAGUAAAGCACAAAUGCCAAGUGAAAAGGUAGAAUUUAGGUACCUUAUCCGUUAUCCAUAGCUUAGUCUUGUCUGCCUGUAAGAGAUUCCAGUAAUUAAGAACAGUAUCAUCUUCGAGGAAUAAAAAGCCAUCAGCACUUGAAAACCGAUCAAAUAUCUUGGGCAGAUGCCUACAAAAUAUGUUGAGAGACAAUUAGUAAACAUAAAAGAUGCUUCGUAAAAGUAAUUAUCAUUUAACAUUCCAACAGGACAACUCAAUACUAGUAAAACAGGCAUGACCACACUAAACAGCUACUGUUUCCAUGGUUACCAACUAUAAAUUGACCAUUUAACAACAAUUUGCUGCUUUUAGAAAGUCUUAAUUCAGAAGAAAGUAACAUACAAAACCUUAAUUGUCUAAGUACCAAAUGUGAUAACCUGUCAAAAAUAUAGAAAAAAAACACACAAAAACAUGCAAUUAUUAUUGCAUUUAUAAUUCGUAAAACUCCAUUAAGAUUAUAAGGUAACUCUUCCCUUUUAGGGUUUGCUUAGUAGGGAGAAUCAAAACAAGAAGAAGAAGAAUUCAUAAUCCAAGGUUAUGCUAUAAAAAAGUAAAAUAAUUAUGAAUCUUAGUGAAAAGGACUCCACUGCACCCCUUCCUCCUGGCAAAGCUUAGCUCAAGGUAGAAGAGGGAGCCUCCGUAUGAUAUAUCAUGGGAAAGAAGAGGAAGUACUUUGAUUGGAAAACAGAGAUGCCACAACAAGAAAGGAACGGAUUCUUGACGAUGAUGAAGAAAAUCAGAAAAGAGGGGCCAUUUAGAGAUUUUAGAAUGUCUGAAGGUACAGUCUGGAAUCAACAAAAACUAAUCACAAGGUAUAGCAAAUCCCGGUUUCAAAUACUAUGGUCAAUCUACUUCAUGCAAGAACUGCUUAAAGUACAACUUCGAUUCUUUAAGGCUAAUGGAAUGCCCUUUGCAAAAGGUAAGGUUAUGGAUCAAUUAUUUAUGAUCAGGAGAGAGACUCAUUUAUUAUUUUAAAAUUCAAAUAAAAUAAUUAUUAGAUACACAAGUUGCUUUAUACAACAAAUAUCAUCCUCCACUUCCCAAUAUAUUACAACCAUUAUUUACUAGUCCCUCUGCAUUUACACCUCCAAUCUAUAAGAUAAUAUGAAGGAUCAAGAUUAACAUAAAUCAACGGGUUAAGAUCUUCAAUAUGAACAGGAAAAAAAAAAAACCAAGUAUAAAACGAAAUUAAGCAGUUUUCUAAAAGUCUUCAUCUACCUAAGCACAAUAUGAUAUCAUUUUCUUCAUCACCUCAUGCAUGUAAUAACUGCAAAUUAUUUUCUGUGCAAAGCAUGUGAAAGAAGAUGAAGAGACUUUCAUUUUAGCUGUCCAUGGAUCAGUUGCUUUUACAAAAAUUUCAUAUUGGUUGUUCAUGGAUAAAGUAAUUUAUGAAAAUAUGAUGAACAGAAACUAAUAAUUGUUAUCUAUGAAUAAUAUCGCGGUUAAUGACUUAUGCCCAAAUUCAUUUUGUCCAAAGAUUUAAAGAACAAUUUAUCAGGACUUAUAUUGCAAAACCUCCCUGGCCAGGUACAGAUGAAAGAAAAUCAGGCAAAUAAUGGCUGGAAGCAAAAGCUAUCUAGUAAACCAGAAUAUCACUUUAGUCUACCAAAACAAUAUUCAAAAGCAAAGAAAGUAACAAAUUAAAAAUAUAUAUAUAUCAAUAUUCUAAGAAAGAUGCACCAUGGAAAAAUAAAUUGAUAGAUUAAAAGUAUCAUGUGAAGGGCAAGUGAUGAUUCUUGUGGCAACUUACUUGUAAAUUUGAUCUAAUUGACCUUCUUCAAUGGCAAGAUCCGAAUUCUUCUGCACAGAAAAAAUAACCACAGUUUUAAAUAUCCGCCCGUAAAGCAGUCUCCACUCCAGGGCAGUACGUUCCACAGGACCAUUGCAGAACAUGAUUAACACGAUAUUUCCAAAAUUCUUCCUCCAUCGUAUCAAAUUCCCAAUCUCAGAGCUAACCAUCCCUGUUUCCUCCACCGCUAAAUGAACAGAUGGCAAUUUCUGAGGGAUAUAUUCUUUUCGAUCCCCAUGACCGAUAUUUGCCCUUGGUCUGUCCAGCUCCAAUGUCAUCAACCUUGGCUGCUGAUAACCUACGGCAACCAAGUCUUGAAGCCAAGCAGCAGUAAACUUGAGAUCCUGCUCUGUCCAAAACCCCUCCUCCGCCAUGGCAUAGCUCAGUUCCAAUAUCUUCUCAAACAACCUAUGCUUGUUUGAUCUCCAUGACACCAAGAAUUUGAUCAAACGACCUACAUUCACAUGAAGAUCCUUCUCCUCUGAAAAGGGGUAUGCCUCUAUUCUGUCAUACCGAUGAACUGUAGGAGGAUACACAGCAACAUUACCACCAAUCUCCCACAAGAGCCGCUGUCCCCAGUAACCCCUCAAUACAUCUGAAGCCAUUGUACUAACAGAAACAGGGAGCAUCAAGGCCCAAAAGGCCGAUGAAUGGUAUAACGUAUUGAACGAAUUCAAUGGCACCAUCAUACCUUGAGGAAAGGCCACUUUUGGUGCAUGCUCAUCAAACCUAAUAUCAAAGGCUUCGAAACCCGACUUCCUAGUAAAAUAAAACACGGAAUCAACAUCCGGUAACCCGUUUGAAAUCCCUUGCUGCAUGAACUGUUUCCCACCAAAGACCUCAGUGUAAAACUCCUCGUGUCCAAAGUCACCCACAUUUUCCAAUGGUAAUCCCCUAGGCCAAACUGAACGUUGGCCGAAAUGAACAUAAGGGUUGACUACAGUCCUAUUAGGAUUAUCAUGGCUAUACUGCAAUAUAACUUCUUGCCUAGCCCCUUCCCCUACUAAUUCUACAUCAAAAUGUUUCCCUAGAUCAUUAUCAAUUACUUCCCCACGAUCAUCAGCAUCGAAGAUCUUUUUGGCACCAUGUUGAAUCGCAAACAAGUAACCGACGCUCUUUCUAACAUAAGAAUCGUAAGGCAAAUGAUCCACAACGCGAAAACCCAAAUUAGCUUGCAUAUCUAAAGACAAAAAAAUCGCACCUUUUAAGCUCCAAUCACUGGGAGUCCUGGAGUUCCCAAUUGCCAAAACUUGCCACCCUUUAAUCUUCACCACCUUCUUCAAUGCAUCGGAGGGGUAAUUAGAAACGGAGACAACGACCCAUUGCUCUGAUCUGAAAUUAGCGUAAGGCGAAGUGCGGUCAGGAAUGGGUUUGAUGGAAUUCCAGUUGAUUUGAGGGAGAGAGAUGGAAUCCACGGCGCUCUGGGUUUCGGAUUGGAGGCAAAGGAGAAAAGCUGUGUUGGUGGAGGAGUAGAUGAAGAAAACGGCGGCGAUGGUGAGGAUUAGGACUAAGAUAGUGACGAUUUUGUAGCAGUUGUCGGGUACCCAUGCGGAGAAGUCGAGGUUUUUGGGUUCAGACAAUCUGUUGGGUUGAACAGUGGGGAGCUUUCUGAUCUGGGGAGGUUUUGGAGAUUUAGGAACUGCACGGUCUUGGACCAACAUUUGAUCUUUUCUUCUUAGAUAGAUUCUUCCAAGCCUAAAUUCUUGCUAGAUCUUCACUUUUGCUCCUUAAUCUCAGCUUCACUCAUAGAUUCCCCAAUUGCAUUUCUAUUUAAUUUGCUGUUUCUGUUGUGUAAAGAAGAGGGAAAGAAACAGAAAGACAGUCACCUUGGACUCUUUUUAAUGACCUCUGCCGACAGCUACAAGCCAACACACACAACCGGGUUUCGUAGGCUUCAAUGUAAAUUUUUAGCAACUGAUGAGUGGUAGUUUGGUGGGUCGUUGUCCUGUCUUCUUCUGCAAAUAUUUUAGGAUAAAAUACUAUUAUAGUAACUAGUAUAUUAUUCAACUCAUUCCAUAUUCAUCACUUAAUUAAUUUUUUUAUUAAUUAUUUUUCAAAAUUAAAUAUUUUUGGGUUUGUUUUAAUGGAUGUAAAAGUAGUUUUAUUUUGUCCACCCAAUACUAAAUUUAGUUUUUCAAUAUUUAUAUAUUAUAUCAAUUUAAUCUUAAAUUUAAAAAUUUUAUCAAAUUUAGUCAUCAACGUUUACAAUAUUUACCAUUUUAGUCCUUAUUAUAAAAAUUGGAUAAAAUACUUAAAAAUCUUUAAAAAUUUUAAUAAGUAAAUAUAAAUAUAUGUUUAAGAUUUUUGUACACAAAAUUACUUUAAACAAUAUCUUUCACUUUGUUCUUUCUUUCAUUCAAUUGAUAAAGUUAGAAAUAUCAAAUACAAUGGCCUUGACAUGUAAUCUCUCUCCAAUUCUUGGGUUAGAAAUGAUAAAAACAUGAAAACACUAUAGCCCAAAACUAGUAUUAUAUAUGUAGCAAAGAGUAAGACCGUCGAAGUGGGUGUCAUCAACUCAUAUAGCUAAAGAAAAAAGGGGACUAAAGUAAAAGAGAUUGAAUAAAAAAUAGCUUUAAUUUAUGGGGUUUUCACAUGUUUGAUUGAUAAGAAAAUGAGCAUGGUUGGUAAGAAAAAAAGAGAGUAAAUGAUAAUCUAUAAUAGAACCAUAAUCUUUAAGCAAUUCAACCCAUCUACAUAGUCUCAAGUUUAGUUCCUUUUAAAUAAGCAUAUACUUUAAACUUUAAUGAUUAGUGAAGACAUGACACUUCUCACCAUAUAAGUAGUGUCUCCCAAUCAUUAAGAAAAAACUACUAUUGCAUGCUCUAAUUCAUGAGUGAGAUAAUUCUUCUCGUGUGACUUGAGUUGUUGUGAAGCAUACACAACUCCUUUGCUCUCUGGCAUUAAUACACAACCUAGACCAUUGUGAGAAGCAUCACUAAAUACUAAAAAUUCUUUACUAUACUCAGGUUAUGUCAAAACAGAUGCUUCUAUCAACAUUGCCUUUAAUCUCUCAAAGCUCAACUGACACUUAUUCAACCAUUCAAACUUAACAUUUUUUUUGCAGUAACUAGGUCAAACAAGAAGCAAUUAUCGAGAAUCAUUUUACAAACCUCCGAUAAUAUCCGGCUAAAUCAAGGAAACUUUUUACUUUAGUGACAUUUUGUAACACCCCAUAUUCAACCCGAUCAUCGAGUCUGAGCUACAAGAUGUCAUAUUCAUUGCUGGAGCAACUACAAUCACAUUUGCAAUUCAAAUAAACAAUUUAUGUGUUAUUUUAAGCUCAAUACAUAAUUGCAAAAUGUUAUAUAAUUAAAUUGAUCAGGAUAUAAACGAACUUAUGAAAGCUCUUUUGAUAAAUCGAGGUUGGUUGAGGACCAAAAUAUAACAUUUUUAAAAUUCUCAGGUUGGUGUCGCGAUGUCGAAGGUAUCACGUCACAACUUUGACAAAACAAAAAGUUUCAUCAAGACAUCGGAGAUCCAUGGUCACGACACCACUUUCUAUCGAUUUCACGUUUCAACGUUGAAGGUCUGUCCUUAGGACGUCACCUACUAUUUUGCACAAUAUCCAUUAGGAACCAAUUCACAACAACUUACAAAAUGACCAAUUCUAUACCUAUUCCAUUUAAGCAAAGUACACACUUUCAAACAUAUAAUAUGCCACAAAUCAAACAAGCAUUUCUAAUCAAAAUUUACCAAUUUGACUAUUCAAAAUUAAAAUCGACUCAACAUAUGUUACCAUUUGCAUAUUUCAACCAUUUCAACCUUAUACUAAUCUCAUGAAUGCAUUUAACAAUUCAUAUGCUUGGGACUCGAAAUAACAUUACCAAUUUAAGAUUCCAAAAUGACUAUUUACAUUACAAAAGUGACUCAAUGUAACAUCCUAUACCUAGUCCGAUCACCUAACCCUAGCUAUAAGGUAUUACAGUUGUAAAGCAUUUCUAUCAUAUAAAGAUUCGACAAAAAUAACCAACAAAUCUAUUAAACAACAUUAACAACAAUAUGAUGUGAUUUACAAUCAAAACCGAGCAUUAAUUUAACAUAUAGGACCUUUAAAAAAACUUGGAAUCAAAUUAUGACUAAACUAAAACUUUUGUAAAAAUUCAUGUAAUACCCUAAAAAUUUUUUUUACAAUAAGAUAUUAUCUUUGAUAUAAUAAAAUAAGGAAAUAAAGAGACAAAAAGGGGAAAUUUUGGAGUUAUGCCAACAUUUGGAAGUAUAUUAUGACAUAUUAGUUCAAGAAAGGAUUAAAUCGCAAAAGUGAGAAAAGUUUUGUUGCCCAAGAGUAAAUACUCAAAAAUUGAGAGGUUCAAGUGUAAAUAUGAAAAAUAUGAAGGACCAAUGGUGUAAAUAUUUUAAGGGUGGAAUGAUCUAGAAACUAAGGAAAAUGGAUGGAUUAGGACCAAGUUGAAAAAGGUGAAGAAUUUUGAGGGACUAAAUCGUAAUUUUACCAAAUUAAGUGAUGACUCAAUGAUAGAAUUUUAAAAGAUCAUAAGGGCAAAAUGGUUAAUUAAAAGAGAGAGAAAUCUAGAAGAUAAUGAUGAUGUUGGAGAUAUUUUAUAUUAAAUAAAUAAAUAAAUAUUAGUUUAUUAGUAUUUUAAUUUAAUUUUUAAAUGAUAUUUUAUUAUUUUAUUAUUUUAUUUAGUAUAUAUAUAAGAAAAGGAAGAUGAAGAAUUCGGGAACCCACUAUUUUUCCAUGCACCAACAUGAGAAAAAGAGAGAAAGAAAGAAAGUUUUACUUUCUUUACAAUUUGGUCCUUACACAAAAAAUUCACCAUUUUCAUAUAGAAAUCAAAAGAAUUUCCAUAUCCAUUAAGAGAGAAAGAUAACAAGGAGACUAUGGGGAGCUAGAAUAUCAAGUUAGAUUCAAGAAAUAGAAGCUGGAGGAGAGAGAAAAUCAAGUUAAAGAUUGAAAUCAUUAUGACAAGGUAAGAACAUUAAGAUUUUAAUAUAUUUUUAAGUUUGAUAUUAUUGAAAAAGUAUGGAAAUGAUGUUAAUGUAAAUUUUUUGUAUAUAUGGUCCUAUGUUCUUGAUAUGUUAGUGAAGAGAAAAUAAGAGAAAGUGAUGAGAAAUAGUGUAGCAAAAGAAAAUAAGGGUGUUAUAAACAUGAUAAUAAACAUCUUGCACUAAAACAGUUUUGGACAGCAACAGUAGGUUAACUUUGAAAAAUCACCAUAAAUUAUGGAAAUUUAAUUAGAAGAGGAAAAAAAUAUGAAAUUAAAUCUUAUUAAGUCUAGUUUCUUAUAGAAGAAGCGGUGUAAGUAAUGAAAUUGUAAAACAUGAGAUAUAAUAAAUUUUGUGAGACAAGGUCAGAAUGAAUUCAGGUUCCCCUGUUCUAACUUUGGAAAAUCAUAAAAAAUUUUAUAAAAAUAAUUAGAGGCUUAAAUUUAUAUGUUUAAAAUCCUGAAUGAGUUUAUUUUAAAUAUAAAUAAACGGUAACAUCAUCUGAAUUCUGUACAAAGAGAUAAUUAAUUUUUAGUGAAAAGGGGUCGGAACUGUCAAACAGUGAAAUAGGGGAAACUUUAAAGAAUAAAAUGUACUUAUUGGAUAAAAAAAAAUUCUGAAAAUUUUAUGGUAAUAAGAUAUGUGAGUAUAGUUUCAGAAAAAAUUUACGGAUCUCAAUUUGGAGUUCUGUAGCUUAAGAUAUAAUUAAUUUAGUGACUAUGACUCAAGUGAACAACUUGUUAUGAGUAAAUAAGUAAACAGCGGUAUCAUGUAUAUAUUAAGGAUGUGGAAUGGAGUGGAGGAGGAGGAAAAAUAUAUGUGAAUAUUCUGAUAAUAUGAUUUUAUUGUAAAAAUAGCUAAUUUACAUGUUUUAAGUUCAGGGACUAAAUUGAAUAAAAGUAAAAUUUUUAGGGUAAUUUUGUAAAAAUGGAAAAAAAUGACCAAAUUUCAAGAAAUGAAUAGCUUUAUCGUCUAAAUUAAUAAAUUUAAUGAAAUUAUUAAUUUAAAUCAAAAUCGCGUGAAAAGUCGAGGGAAAUGGAAAAUUUCCAAAAUGCUCAUGUAUCAUGGUAUUUAUGCAAUUUAGCCUAGUAAAUUUGCAUUACUGUAAUUCAAAUCUAAGACUGUGUUUGAUUGGCGGAAUUGAUUUUCCAGAAAAUCAAUUACAAGUUUUCCAGUGUUUGAUUGGCGGAAAACAUUUUCCUUUUGGAAAAUCAAUUCCGCAACACGGGAAAUUGGGUUACAUUUUAGGGAAAAUGUCUUACCCUUUCAAUUUCCGUAAGACAUUUUCCCUGCUCUCCUGCCUUCUAAUACCUUCAUUCCUUCCAUAAUUUCCGGUAGAAAAAGUGCUUCUGUCGACUGAUUUUCCACUAACCCCCCACAAGAAGUCCUUUAUUCCUUCAUUUCCUCGGUUCCCAGUGGGAGAUUAUCACAGUUUUCUUUCAUUUCCUCGGUUCCCUCUUCUCCGACUGAUUCAGUUACCGAUCCAAACGUUCUCUCCGACCACCAUUUAUUUUUGCUAUCUCCACUCCAAUUUUCGUUAGAUCUGUGGGAAAUUUCAGGUAACCUUAUUAUUAUAGACAUUAUUUGAUUUUUUAUGGUUUUAUUUUCAAUGUCGAAAAAAACUUGCUGGGUUUGUAUUUUCUGUCCCGAUAUUAGUGCAUUGUUCAGUAAUUGUAAAAGGGUUUUAGGUUUUUAUGCACAAAAAUUGGGUAAUGCAAGGUAAAUAAUAAAUAUGCAGAUCAGUAAUGUCUGAUCCUGCAAAUUUUCAUUGUUCCAAAACGGAGCAAGACUGAUGUUGUCUUAGCUUCUAUUUCGAAAUCAUACCUAUGGAAUCAUUGUCGGUUGCUCACCUUAAUAAUAAAUAUGCAGCUUAAGGAUAAAAAUUCUGAUAUAGUAUCUGAUUUUAACAAAUAGUUAUUAGAUUUAGGUGAUGGAAGAAUACCUAAUGUCGCACUAGAGGUUAAUGUAGAUUCCCCAACCCAUUACCAUGCCAUAUUGAUUCUUAAUCCCUUAACGACUGAUUCAGUUUGUGCAAUAUUUGGCUACAUUUAUCUAGAACUCGAGGAAAAUUUCAAUAACACGACAUACCUAAAGGAUUAAGCUGUACUGUCAACUACUAAUGAAGUGGUAAACAAGGGGAAUGAUUUUGUGCUUCUGAGGAUUCCAGGUGAAUCUAGAACAUAUCCUAGUUCAGAUAGAAUUUAUCCUGCAUCUGGAAAUAUUGAAGAACAAUCCCUUCUAUAUUCAUCAGAAGUCCUGAAUUCUUUGAAAUUUACUGUGUACCUAGUCAUGUGAUUUUUAGUUGAAAGUUGGGGUUCCAAUAAUGUUAUUGAGAAACAUUAACCGAAAUGUUGAUUUAUGUAAUUGUACUGAAUUGGUUGUGACAAAAUUGGGAUCUAGGUUGUUAUUAUUAUGUUGAAACUAUUACUGGUAGUAGUGUCGGGCAACGUUGUUUUAUUCCUCGAGUAGAAAUUUCACCAUCCGGUUCAAAAUGGCCUUCCAAUUUCAGAAGAAGGCAAUUUCCAAUAAAAGUUAUGUUUUCUUUUACAAAAAUUUUCUUUCCUCUACUACAAAAGUUUUUGGAUUUUUUUGGAUAUCAUGUCUGAUCCUGCUAUAUUUUCCUUUUGAGAUUCCAUAUGCGACCCUACUUGUCUGCAAACAAUUAGCAUUCAAUCAUAGAUUGCAAUUUUCUUCUGUUUGAAGCAUGAUUCACACCAUAUAAUACAAGUAUUGAUAUAUUGUAAUUUCAAUCCAUUAAAUUAAACCAUUAAUGAUUUGUGUUUGAUUUUUUAUUGCUCCUAACGGUUCUAAUUUCUUUCUAUGCUUGACCUCCAGCUGUAUAGUUCUUGUUGUCCUAGCCUCUACCUCAGCAUUCUUACUCCUGUUGGUGGCCUUGGUUGAUAUUUUCAUAAGAGGUUGGUCCAAGGUUUUAUCUUUGGAAUGUCUUCUUUCUUGAUUCUGGUCUGCCAAUGGCAUGGCAUUUGUGGUUGUUAUAUGUUUGUGGUGUGCUUGAUUUAUGAUUUGGUAUAAUAUGCAUUUGUGGUUGUUAUAAUUCGGUUCAAGUGAAUUAAGCAUGGUUGUUGGAUGUGUUUGGGUAUGGUUUAUUAUUGAUUUACAUUUUUACUGUAAUUUGUUUACGUAUUACUUGGGAAAUGGCAGUGAUGAGCUGUUAUAUUUGGUUGAUGGUAGGUAAAUACAUAUGUGCGUAUGUCAUGAAUUUUGGUAAUUUUGGCAUGAUUUAUAGCAUAUGGAAUUGGCAUUGAAAAGGUCUGGCUUUAGGUUGUUAUUAUUAUGUUAUCAGUGGUAAUAUGCAUUUGUGGUGCAAUACAAGCACAGAAGCUGCUAUUAACCAACAAGACAGCCGAUAACCAAUGGGGAAUAGUAUAAGUUUAUGGGAACAAGGACAUUUUCCCAAGUUUCCAUGUUAUAGAUUUAAAUAUAUGUAGUAAUAUAGAGUUUAUGGCAAUGAAUUAUGUUUUUUUCUUUAAAAUAUAAGGAAAUGUUGUUUAAAUAUUACACAUUGAUAUCAAUUUGGAAGUUUAGGUGUGAUACAUAUUCAUUUGCUAUCUGAAUUCAAACAUGCUAAAUUUCCAUGAAAGAGAUUGUAGUGAAUAUACAGUAUGAACAGGAGGGAAAGAAUUCAUGCACCCCAUCAUUUUUUUCACAAUUCAAAGCCUCAGAAUUAAAGAAAAGAUGAAGUUAGAAAUGAGAAAGUCUCAAAACUUUUGCAAAUGACAGAUGAACCAAAAUCAAAUUUGUUUUUAACUUUUCAAGUAGAUUUUGAUUUAAGAAAUCAGGAAGCUAGUAAUAACUCAUCUAUAUAGGCAUCUUAGGGACUGAUAUUUUUGUUAAUUAUGUCCGAAAUUUUAACUGUAUUUAUUGUUAUCUAUAUAGCAAUUGUAGCAGUGCACUUAAACAUUAUUUAUUUUUUAUAAAAAGUAAUCAAUUUUUAAUUUAAAAAAUUAUAAAAAAUAGAAAUAAAAAUAAAUUUAUAACAUUGUCAAAUUUUUUUGUUUAUAUCGAAAUAAAAAAAGAAAACACACUUGAUAGCAAUUAUAAUUUAAAAUUUUUUUAUAUUUUAAAAAAGAGGCAUCACCAUUUUUAAUAAUGUUUUUUGCAAUAAAAAACAAUACUUAAAUAAUCAAAUUUCUGUUAAUGUAUAUUUUUUUAUAAAUAAUAUGUUAAAUAUUAAAGUAUUGUAUUAACUAUGAUCAAUAUUUUUUAAGUCAUGGUAACUUUAUAAAUACAUGAUCAAUAUGUUAAUGUAUAUUUUUUUAUAAAUUCAUGGUAACUUAAAUAAUAAAAAAAUAUUUUUUAUAAAUACAUGGAAGAUAACCUAAUAAUAUAUAACAAAAUCUUGCACCAAUUGAAGUAUUGUAUUAACUAUGAUCAAUAUAUUUUAAGUGCUACUUUCAAAAAAUUAUUAUUGAGCAAUUAUAAUUAGCUUGAUAUGCAUGUAUGCACUUUUGUAGUCAUGGUAACUUUAUGUGAUCUUAUGAAAAUCUUGCAUCUUUUGUAGUAGUGAUCAUAUAUUUGUGUGGCAUUAUUUUGUGUAGAUGGAUCGUAAUCAACAUCAAAUGGCAAUUGUCGGAGUCCUGGCUUCAGUUUUAGCUUUUGGAGCUCUUUGGAUUAAAAAAUUAGAAACUAGGAAGGAAAUUACUUCUCGCCUUCGUGUGAAUCGAGAUUAUGAAAGAGAAAAUUAUAUUAACAGUAUUUUAUAUAGUGGUGACCAGCAUUGCAUUGAUGUGAUAAGGAUGAGACCGAUCGCCUUUUUUAAUUUAUGUGAUAUUCUUAGUACGAAUAAUUUGUUACAAUAAUCUAAAUCUGUCGAUAUUAGGGAGCAAGUAGUUAUAUUUUUACAUAUAAUUGGUUAUAAUGUAAGGUUUUGAGUGAUUGGAUCUAGAUAUUAUAGAUCAACUCAGACAGUUCACCAUUACUUUGGGGUUGUAUUGAGAGCUAUUUUGAAAUUGUAUAGACUAGUUAUUAGAUUACCUGAUGAGUCAACUCCUAGUGAAAUUAGAAAUAAUCCAAGGUUUUAUCCUUAUUUUAAAGAUUGUAUUGGAGCAUUAGAUGGAACUCAUAUUCGUGCAUCUGUUCCACUUAGCAUGCAAGGAAGAUUUCGUAGCCGUAAAGGGGGGAUGACACAAAAUGUAUUGGCUGCCAUUACAUUUGAUUUUAAAUUUUCCUAUAUCUAGCUGGUUGGGAAGGUAGUGCACAUGAUUCUCGUAUUUUAAGUGAUGCAUUUUGUAACAGCCCGAUUUUGGGCCUAGUCGAAACAGUGGUUUUGGGACCACAAAUUCGACGAGGAAAAUUUUUAUUUUUAUUAUAUUUUUAUGGUCUAAAAUUUCACGGAAUAAUUUUGUGAAAAUUUCGUUCAAAAAUUUCGACGUUUGGGCACUCAAUUUAGUCAAAAGGACUAAAUUGUAAAAAGUGCAAAAGUUGAGUUCUAUAUGUUAGGAGUGUAUAAUUGUUAUGAAAUUUUAAAUUGGAGGUCCUUAAAUGGUAAUUAGACCAUUGGUUACAUUAUGGACAAAAAUGGACAUGAAAUAGGUGAAAUAAGAUAUUUUUAAGUUAAGGGUAUUUNNNNNNNNNNNNNNNNNNNNNNNNNNNNNNNNNNNNNNNNNNNNNNNNNNNNNNNNNNNNNNNNNNNNNNNNNNNNNNNNNNNNNNNNNNNNNNNNNNNNCUGCCGAAUGUGUCAUGGAGCCAUAGCUAGGGUUUGUUCAAGCUUCCAAGCUUUAUGGUAAGUCCGUUCUAGCCCCGUUUUUCUUGUUCUUUAUAUUUUUAGAAUCCCGGUAGCUAGCUUAAGCUACUUUUACCAUUAAUUCGAGCUAGAAUUUAUGUUUGGAAAAUUACCCAUAGAUGAAAAGUGUGAAUUUUGAUGUUUUAUGAUGGAAUAUGAAGCUUAGAAUUGUGUUUAUAAGAUUUUGGCUAAGCGAUUUUCAAUGAAACCGAGUAAAUUGACAUAAUCGAUAAUAAUACUAAAUGUUCAUAAGUGCACUAUAGAGCAAGAAUUUUAUGUAUUCAUUGGAGGGAAAAUUGUUUAGCAUGUCAUAAAACAUAAGAAAAAGGAAUAAAGUUUAAUUUCCGAGCCAAGGGGCAAAAUCGUAAUUUUGUGAAACUUUAGGGGCAAAAAUGUAAUUUUCCAAAAUAUGAUUUUUGGACUGGAUUGAAUAAUGUGAAUGUUAAAUAAGUUAAAUGUGUUAUUAUAAGUCAAGAAAUACAUGGAAUUGACUUUGGUUAGUGAAAAAAAAGAAUGUGAUAAAGUGAGAAAUUUUCCGAUUGAAUAUUCGGAAUAAAAAAAGGGAUAUGAAUGAAGUGACAGAAAUGCUUUAACAUGUGGCACGGACUGUGUGUAGGCCACUAUAUGAAAGUGAAAAUGUUGGUCACGUGUGUAGUACUGUGUGAAGGCUACUACGUGAAUGGAUAAAUAAUGGUCACAUGUGUAGUACUAAGUGAAUGCUACAAUAUGUACCGAGAAGCUUUGGUCACGUGUGUAGUACUAUGUGAAGGCUACUACGUGAAUCGAUAAAUAAUGGUUACAUGUGUAGUACUAAGUGAAGGCUACAAUAUGUAUCGAGAAGCUUUGGUCACGUGUGUAGUACUAUGUGAAGGCUACUACGUGAAUUGAUAAAUGAUGGUCACAUGUGUAGUACUAAGUGAAGGCUACUACGUGUACCGAAAAGCUUUAGUCACGUAUGUAGUACUAUGUGAAGGCUACUACGUGAACCGUAAAACUUGAUCACGUGUGUAGUACUAUGUGAAGGCUAUUACGUGAACCGUAAAAAUUGAUCACGUGUGUAGUACUAUGUGAAGGCUACUACGUGUAUCGAAUGAUAAUAAUAACAUGGGUGGUACUAUGUGAAAACCCCCAAAUAUUUGUUGUUAUACUGACAUGUUUAACGAGAUAUGAGUAUGUGAUUGAAAUGUGAUAAGUUACGAAAGAGUGACUGAAGUGAUGAAGUCUUGCAUUGUGUUAUAAAAUAAAUGGUUAUAGUGCUAUGUGAAUGAGAGAUGUUGGAAUAGAAUAGAUUUGGAUAGUGACAGUGACGUUAGUUUGAAAAAUCACCAAAAAUUGUAGAAAUUUAUUUAGUGGUUGAAUGAGAUAUGGAAUUAAAGCCUAUUGAGUCUACUUUCAUAUAAAAGAAACAGAGCAAGCAAAAGAGUUGUAUAUUUUGAGAUAUUUGAAUUUUAGUGAGACAGGGUCGGAAUGAUUUCGGAAUCCCCUGUUCUGACUUUGGAAAAUCACUAAAAAUUGUAAAAGAAUAAUUAUGAGUUAUAAUUUAUAUGCUUAGAAUCCUUGAUGAGUCUAUUUUCAAAUGAAAUAAACAAAAUUAUCAUCCAAAUUUUGUACAGUGAGAUAAUUCAUUUUUAGUAAAGAGAGGUUAGAAACGUGAAGCAGUGAAAUAGGGGAACCUUUAGAGAAUAAACUGUACUAAUUGGCUAAACCAAAAAUUCUUAAAAUUUUAUGGUAAGAAGAUAUGUGAGUCUAGUUUCAGGGAAGAUUAACGGAACUCAAUUUGAAGCUCCGUAGCUCCAGAUAAAAAUAAUUUAGUGACUGUAACUUGACUAGACAGUUUUGAAUUUAAAUAUAAGUGAAUAGUGAAAUUAUGUAUAAUGCCAAUUAAGUGUGUUAUAUGUAUCAAGGAUGUGGAAUGGAGAGGAGGAGGAGGACAUUAAAUUAUAUGAAUGAAUUGUGUAUAAUUGGUUGUAAAUAUGAAUGCUUGAUGAAAUGGAAUGGAAUGGAAUGGUAUGAAAUGGAAUAGUAUGGAAUGGAAUGGUAUGGAAUGGAAUAUAUAUAUAUAUAUGAAUGACUUGUGUGUGAAUGGGUCAUAUGCUCGAUCAUAAUUGAUAAACAUUGAAUUAAAUGGUAAAUGCGUAUUAGUACUGAACUAAAUGAUAUUGGAUUAUAUGUGAAUUAAAUGGAAACUUCCAUUGCUAGUGAUAUGAUUUGAAUUAAAACAACUAUUGUGGUACUGAGAAGUAUAAUGGAUUGAGAAAUUGAUUUGAAUUGUGAACAGAGAAAUUGCGAAUUGAAUGAAAUGAAAAUGAAGCAUUGAAUUACAUGAGUAAGUAUCGAGUCUCGUAGGCUCUAUUUAUUAUGAAUAUAAUAUUUCAAGGAUAUGUUGUAAAUAAUUAUAAAAGCACGUUAGUAAUUUAAAAAGUUUUAAUUCGGAUAAAAUCUUGUAACUCAGUUUAAAUACGUAUACAAGUGUAUGUGUUCUAGUAAUGCCUCGUACCCUAUUCCGGCGUCGAAUACGAGUUUGGGGUGUUACACACUUUCACGCCCAAGAGGAUUAAGAAUUCCGGAAGGUAAUAUUUAUCACAAAUAGUUCUAGUAAACUCAUAGUUUAUUAGUAUUAACUAUGUAUUGUGAAAUUGUAGGUAAAUAUUAUCUUGCUGAUGCUGGAUAUGACAUCCGAAUUGGAUGUAUUACCCCAUAUCGUGGUGUCCGAUAUCAUUUAAAAGAGUUUGGUGCUGAAGGGCCUGAAAAUGCAAAGGAACUCUUUAAUCUUCACCAUUCAUCAUUACGGAUCACUGUUGAACAUGUUUUUGGGAUUUUGAAGAAAUGGUUUCAUGUAUUAGAUGCUGAACCAUUUUGGAAUUUUCAAACUCAAGUAGAUAUAGUUUUGACUUGUUGUAUUAUUCAUAAUCAUAUAAUGGGAGUUGAUCCUAGUGAUUUACUUAAUCAAGGAUUAUACGAGGUGUCUGAGUCUGAUUCGAUAAUACAAACUCUCACGGAGCGAGAAGAAAGACAAGAAGCAAGAGAAUGGUCUGCUAAGAGAGAUGAAAUUGCACAAACUAUGUGGACUGAUUAUAUGCCUAGAAAUAUUAGGUAGAUUUAGGGCUUAGGGUUAUUGUUUCUAUGUUAUGUAUGUUUUAGUAUAAAUUUCUUUUUUUUGUAAAUGUUGGUUGGAUAAUGAUAUUGAAAUUUUAGAUUGUUGGAUUUUGAUAUAUGUCUUGAAUUUGUUAGAUAUUGAUUAUGUUUUAACCUUGUUGGAUAUUGAAUUGAUUAUUAUGUUUUAAGCUUGUUGGAUAUUGAAAUUAUUGACAAUGACAAUUAUCUAAUGUAGAAUGGGUAAGGGCAACAAAGAAGGGACCUCCAAGCAAUUCAGGUGGACAAAACCGAUGGAACAUGUUUUCCUUGAAAUUAUAGCAGAAGAGGCUCGAAAAGGAAAUAAGCCUUCUAAGACUUUCAAAUCAGUUUCUAUUAAUCGAGUUGUCGACGCCAUUUCUGAAAGAUUCCAAGUCCAAUGCGAUGCGAAGCAUGUGGAAAAUCAUUUGAGGAUAGUAAAAAACCAGUGGCAGAUUAUAUGUAAAAUUCGAGGUGAAAGUGGUUUUGGAAUGGGAUGAUAACAUGAAAAUGAUCACAUGUGAUAGAGCGACAUAUGAUGCAACAGUGAUGGUAAUAUAUGACUAUAUAUAUGUUAAGUAUAUUUCAAUUGUUUUUUACUUGUUAUUCUAAUUGUGUAUAAUAUCCAACAGGCACACAAGAAGUAUGAACCAUUUCUGAAUAAAAGCAUUGAUCAUUAUGAUGAAAUGGCUUUGGUUGUUGGCAAAGAUAUGGCAACAGGGAGUUUUGCCAGAACAUUUGCUGACAUAGAUUUGGAUGAUGGUAAUGAAGAUUCAAUGCCUGUAGACUGCGACAAUGAAGAGGCUGAAGAGGUAAGAACAAAUGUAUAUUCAUCUGGCACAUCCAAACGUAAAAGAAAAAGUGGUCAAGAAAGUCUCGUUGAUGAACAAAUUAAAUUUGUGGGUGAACAACUUGGCAAAAUUGCUAAUGCUUUGGAACAAUUUACUGCCGAUAAGACAUCACAGCUUUACAAACAAGUGAUGUCGAUGGAGGAAGAAGGAUUUGAUGAUGACUUCUUGUGUUCUGUGUUUGAUUAUCUAGUGAGCCGUGAAUCAAAGGCCAAAGCUUUUUUAGUUAAAAGUAAGAAACAUAGAAAAAUUUGGCUUCAAAAAUUUUCUCAGGGUUGAAGAUGUUGAUACUUUUAUGUGGUCUAAUACUAUGCACUUGGACAAUGUUGUUACUAUGUGGUGUACUACUAAUUAUGUAUUUGAAUAAUAUUAUUUCUAGUACUCAUUGUGGUUUCGAAACAAUUUAUAAUUAUUCAAUAUUAUUUCUAGUACUCAUUGUGGAUAAUAUUUUUUCAAUUUAUAACGAUCAAUAUUGUAGCUUAAUAAUUGAGUAUUAUUAUAAAUAAAUCAUUGCAAUAUAUGUAAAAACAAUUUAAAAUAUAAAAAUUUAUUAAUAUAUAUUAAUAUAUGUAAAAACAACUUUUCCGGAAAAUAUUUUCAGGAAAUCUGUCAAACAGCAGAAAAUAUUUUACACAGAUUCAAUCAAACACCAGAAAAUAUUUUCCAGUAAAUCAUUUUACAGAAAAGUAAAACAUUUUCCAGAAAUCAUUUUACGGCAAACAUUUUACUGCCAAUCAAACAGACCCUAAUUAUUAUUAAUUAUUGUGUUUUAAUUGAAAUGCAUGGUAAUUAAAUGGAAAUGGCUAGUGAUAUGAUUUGAAUUGUGAGCAUGAGAAAUUGCGAAUUGAAUGAAACAAAAAUGAAUCAUUGAAUUGCAUGAGUAUGUAUCGGGUCUCGUAAGCCCUAUUUAUUAUGAAUAUAAUAUUUUGAGGAUAUAUUGUGAGAAGUUAUAAAAGCAUGUUAACAAUUUUGAAAAUUAUUAAUUUAUAUGAAAUUUUAUAACUCGGUUAAAUACGUUUACAAGUGUAUGUGUUCUAAUAAUGCCUCGUGCCCUACUCCGGCGUCAAAUACGGGUAAGGGGUGUUAAAAUUCAGGUAAAAAGUGUAGUCCCUAACAUGGUCGUGUUGUCUAACUGUGUAAUAGAUUUAAACCGUGUACUCUUGGGACACGCGAUCGUGUCACCAGACCGUGUAACUAACUGAGGUCGUGUGGACAAACCUGCAUCAAAAUUAAACAGGCCAUAUGGUUGUAUCAAUCAAUCGUGUGUGGCACACGACUGUGUGGCAGGCCAUGUCACAGGCCAUGCCACUUAUAAUCGAGUCAAAAUAAGUAAACAGUUGCCGAGAAAAUUGACGAAUAGUGUGAUCUCCAGAAACGAUCAAAUCGACAACUCGAGCCUGACAAUCUACAAUGAAGAAAACGAAAUGAGAUAAGCUUACAUAAAACUUAAUAAGUUCGUAUAGUUAAAACAUCACAUACCUAUCAUUUUAAGCAUUAACUAGAAUUUCAUGCCUUGUUUCACAUUUCCUACCAUAUCAAAUGGUUAAAAAUGUACAUAUAAUAUUAAAAAAGAUAUCAAGAUACAUGAUUCACGUAUCAAUUUACAACCAUUACAUGUAUUUAACCAUUCAUGCCAUGAACUUUAUUUCGAAACAUUCCAUUAAUCGUUUUGCUCGGAGAACAAUAGCAAAUUAACUUUGGAUACACGAGAAUAAUGCUUACACGAGUUGAUCAUCAGAAAUGCUGCUCAUACAAGCUUACAAGAACUGCAACAAAUACUAGAUUCCGGCCAUCAGUAUGGUAUCCACCACCUGUACAUAGUACCUGGAAAUAUAUCCCCAGCACAAAGUGCCUAGAAUUGUAACAUUGGUACAUAGUACCUGGAAAUAUAUAUAUCACCGGCACAAAGUGUCUUGACCUGUAAUCAUCGGCACUUACUGCUUGGAACACCCUAAUGACAUGUCAUUUGUAUUCUAGCUAUUCAUUGAGUUCACACGAACUUAACUUGUAUACCUUAACCUUUUCAUAAUUAAAACCUCAUACCAUGAUCAACUUGAUCUCAAAUAUUCCAUAUAAUAACAUAAUUCAAUUCAAACAAGUAAAAUUACCAUGCUUUACAUUUCAAACCUUUGUUCCACCAUCAAACUUACCUUAAUUAACUAUGCCAUUAUACAUACAUACUUAUACACAUAUAUGAUUAGAAUUCAAAACAUCAAUAAGUGUAACAAAUUUACUACGAAUUUACCUAAACAUACAUAAUUUACUAAAAACGGAUAAAGAAAUCACUCACAUGCAAGAGUCUUGUUGGCUGAACUUAAGAAGCUUUAACGAUGGGAUUUUGAAGCUUAUUUUCUGUGGUAACCUUAAGAAGAUGAUGAUUCUUUUCUUUUUGUUUUAUUAUUUAACAUAUAUUAUUAUUAAAUAAAUAUAUUUUAACAUAUGAAAUGCUUGAUGACAACCCGUUAACCGUCCACUUAGACUAAUUAUGGUCCAAUUACCUCUUAAGUACUUUAAAAAUCUUUAAUCAUGCAUAUUAACUAAUAAAAAAUUAAUAUCAAUUAAAGUUUUGCAAUUUUUACGAUUUAGUUAUUUUUUCUUAAUUAACUAUCUAAAUAUUAAAAUUACCUAACUAAAUUUUAAUAUGGCACUUUAGUAACCCUGUAAUUAUUAAAUAAAUGAUAAUUAUUGACUUACUGGUCGAAAUUAUGGUCUCAAAAUCACUGUUUCUGACACCAUUGAAAACGGAUUGUUACACUCAAACUUUUGGUACAUGCCAUAUAUUGAAAUCAUAAGGGGACUAUAUACAAACAAUGUUGAGUCAAGAGUUGUGGAUUGGAUGCCGAAUCACUUCUCAGGUCUUCGAGAUCUGUUAAUACCUGCGCAUGGAAAUAAACAAACUGUACACUAAACGACAACGUUAAGUGGUACUUUCAUUAUUUAAGUCAAUAAAACAAAAGCAUAAUCAUGUUAAUAUACAACCAAUAUGUUUAAAUCUAAAAAUCAUCUCAUCACCACACAUCACCAUAAAAAUUAAUAUUUAACCAUUUUUUAAUCUCAAAUUACCAAAAUGCCCUCAGGAGCAAAAUUAUCAUUUUGCCCCAUCAUCUCGUAUUUUACUCGAUUAAGCUUGAAACUCUAAAAUAUGUCAAGAUGCAUUUUAAUGACCUCUCAAUAGUAUAAAAAUAAUUAAAUAUAUUACAAAUGAAUUCUCGUCGGAUAUAUGGAUAAAAUUAUCAUAACAGCCUCGUAUGAAAUACCAAAAAAUUUGGGCCAUUACAACUCCUUCGAGAGAAGUUUUCAAAGUGUCUUUCAUUGGUUGUUAACCAGUCUCCCAACAAUUGAAGAUAUAGUCCCUCAGGAGGUUAUCUCUUGUACUCGUGACUACAUAAUUAUUCUCAUGCCCUAUAUUAACACCUUCCCCUUGAGUCUUGUAGGUCCACCAACCAAGGCACUCUCUACUUAGUGAACUAGGACCACCGGGCAGAUGCUCAUAGCACGUUGACUCUUGACAAAGUAUGAAAGACAAAACUCUUAUUAAGAGACAAAACCUUCAGUUGUUGGGGGAUUGGUCAGGUGCUCGAUAGAUGACAUUUUGUAUACUUCUCCCGAAGGAGUGGAUCCCCCUCAACGGCCCAUAACCCCUCAAACCCUUAAAUCAGAAGAAAAUACAGGAUUAAGUGCCCUUGAACCUACCUUUUCCUAAUUGUUACAAUAACUAUGAUGCCAAUUAAUUUAAGGCUUAAUCGACACUACAUAGAAAUCUUUUUUGAAAUGAUAUAAACCUACAUAUUAUUACAACAAAGUUUUUUUUUUUUAAUAUACAAAUCUAAUUCGGCAAGUGAAAACAAUAAAAAAUCAAAUUUAUUUUUUUGUAUAAAAAUAAAAACAUCUAAUUGCUCAUGCAAUAAAAUUUGAAUGUUUAAUCCUUUAAAUUUAAAAUAUGUAAGGUAAAAGAAAAUUUUAAUUCAUUUCAAUUUUAAUAUUAAGUAAAUUGAUCUCUUUUAAAAAUUAGAACAAUUUACUCUUUAUCAUUUUGAAAGUGAGUGACUAAAGACAAUUAAUUAUAACAUCAAUAUUAUUUUAACAUCAGUAUAUAUUUUAUUGGUUUAAUAAAAAUUUAGCCAUCAAUAUUUAUAAUUUUUGUGUAAAAUAUAGACAAAAAAAUAUAUAAAUAUUACGACUAAAUUUGUUAAAUUAAGACUCAAUUGUAAAAUUAAUUCUCAAUUUUAUAAACUGACCGGAUACCUGAAAUUUCAGUAAGCAUUAAAAUCAGAAAAGAAGAUUGAAAAUUAACAGAGAGCUUCUCAUGUAUAUAGUGAUGGGCCCAAAAGACCAGAAUCAUUUCAUUUCUCUUCAAAUAGAAUCUGCAACCAGUAAUGAAUCAUACAAAUGUAAUGAAUCUACAGAGGAACUUACAAAAAGAACACCCCCUUUCCCCCUGAAAAAUGAUUAUGGAACAAGUAAAGAAAAGAAAGAAAAAGAAAAAAACAGUUCUUCACAUUACAAUUACAAAAGUAGUACAUAUUUCUUUCCUCCACACUACUGCCUUUCAUUCAUGUUCAAACUAACUCCGUUAAGAGAGGAUCACCUUCACCCAUUAUUCUGAUUAGCUUUAUGAAUUCCUGCUCGCUUGACACCUUCCAUGGAUGCACUGCAGGCGCUUGUGCGGAAUAAUGUGUCGAAGAAGAAUUAGCAGAUUGUGGUUCUGGCUUAUACACCAUUGUACUAAGCACUGAAUCGAAAUUCUGAGGUGAAUCCAUUGACAAAAAGAACAUGGGUAUGGAAACCUUUUGAUGGAUAUCUUGAUGUCCGACCAGAUUAACAAGAUCAACAAAGUCCGC
rnacentral:lncRNA from 1 species